UACGGAGGGUGCAAGCGUUAUCCGGAUUCACUGGGUUUAAAGGGUGCGUAGGUGGGCAGGUAAGUCCGUGGUGAAAUCUCUGAGCUUAACUCAGAGACUGCCGUGGAUACUAUCUGUCUUGAAUAUUGUGGAGGUAAGCGGAAUAUGUCAUGUAGCGGUGAAAUGCUUAGAUAUGACAUAGAACACCAAUUGCGAAGGCAGCUUACUACACAGUAAUUGACGCUGAGGCACGAAAGCGUGGGGAUCAAACAGG
rnacentral:rRNA from 1 species